UACGGAGGAUCCGAGCGUUAUCCGGAUUUAUCGGGUUUAAAGGGUGCGCAGGCGGGAUGUUAAGUCGGCGGUGAAAUUUUGCAGCUCAACUGUAAAAGUGCCUUCGAUACUGGCUUUCUUGAGUGUGGAUGACGUAGGCGGAAUUUGUGGUGUAGCGGUGAAAUGCUUAGAUAUCACGAGGAACUCCGAUUGCGCAGGCAGCUUACUAAACCACUACUGACGCUCAUGCACGAAGGCGUGGGGAUCAAACAGGAUUAGAUACCCUGGUAGUCCACGCAGUAAACGAUGAUUACUAGUUGUUUGCGAUACAAUGUAAGCGACUGAGCGAAAGCGUUAAGUAAUCCACCUGGGGAGUACGUUCGCAAGAAUGAA
rnacentral:rRNA from 1 species